GUGCACCAGGCGCGAAAACUUUACAAUGUGCGAAAGCACGAUAAGGGAACUCUGAGUGCCUCCUAAGGAGGCUGUUCUGAUGUCUAAAAGCAACAGAAGUAAGGGCUGGGUAAGACCGGUGCCAGCCGCCGCGGUAACACCGGCAGCCCAAGUGGUAGCCACGUUUAUUGGGUCUAAAGCGUUCGUAGCCGGCCAGGUAAGUUCCUUGGUAAAUUUAGCCGCUUAACGGUUAAGCUUUCAGGGAAUACUGCUUGGCUUGGGACUGGGAGAGGUCAGAGGUACUCCGGGGGUAGGGGUGAAAUCUAUUAAUCCCUGGGGGACCACCGGUAGCGAAGGCGUCUGACCAGACCAGGUCCGACGGUGAGGGACGAAGGCUAGGGGCGCGAACCGGAUUAGAUACCCGUGUAGU
rnacentral:rRNA from 1 species